rnacentral:rRNA from 1 species
GACGAACGCUGGCGGCGUGCUUAACACAUGCAAGUCGAACGGAAAGGCCCUGCUUUUGUGGGGUGCUCGAGUGGCGAACGGGUGAGUAACACGUGAGUAACCUGCCCUUGACUUUGGGAUAACUUCAGGAAACUGGGGCUAAUACCGGAUAGGAGCUCCUGCUGCAUGGUGGGGGUUGGAACGUUUCGGCGGUUGGGGAUGGACUCGCGGCUUAUCAGCUUGUUGGUGGGGUAGUGGCUUACCAAGGCUUUGACGGGUAGCCGGCCUGAGAGGGUGACCGGCCACAUUGGGACUGAGAUACGGCCCAGACUCCUACUGUAGGCAGCAGUGGGGAAUAUUGCACAAUGGUCGGAAGCCUGAUGCAGCAACGCCGCGUGCGGGAUGACGGCCUUCGGGUUGUAAACCGCUUUCGCCUGUGACGAAGCGUGAGUGACGGUAAUGGGUAAAGAAGCACCGGCUAACUACGUG